UUAAUGGUUUGGGAAAGCUCUGACAUCAAUCUGUCCCUGUUAUCUGUAUGUUGAGUUUAAAGGGCUGAAAGGUAUAAAAUGUUUAAGAAUGAGCAGGAAGGAUUAAAAAAAUUACAGUGGAUCUUGUGUAAAGUCUUUUAAUUCUUCAACUGUUGUCUAAAAACAAAUGGUUAUUUAGUCUAGUGUCCCUUGAGAGGAUUUGUCCCAGAUUUGUGGGAAAGCAUAUCCUUAUGUUACACACAGGCAGCCAAGUACACACACUGUAUUCAAAACAGAACUGAAUGUUUAUAUGGAUUUAAAUUGUAAAAAUUUGAAAAGAUGAGAAAAAACUAAGUGAUCCAUAUUGGAUAAUUAAUUGGUUAUAUUGUUCUACAACAAAGGGCUCAGCAGGCUUAAGAUAACCCAUUCUGUUUGCCAGGUGGCAAAUUUUGCAUUAACUAUUCAUGAAAUCAAGUGAAUACAUGCUGGAACCACGAGUUUCACAUCCAUGUUACUCCACAAGCAGAGGUCAGUAAAGCAUCUGACCUGUCCAUACUUUGUGUCUCACAAUAUAAAAUGUUAUCCAGUUUAUUUUUGCUUUAUACUUUUGGAAGGGUCUGUGUGCUCUUUGUUUAAAGGAAGUUCUGGAAAAGGCCAGAUAUGAUAGUGAAGAUAGGUGGAAUUUACAAAAAAUCCAGUGAGCAGAGUAAGGACACUUGAUGUUAUAGAAAUAACACAAUUCUGAGGUUUUUUCCAUUAAAAUUAGCAGUAUACCUUAAAGCAAAUAGAAGAGGAGAGUGGAAAAAAUAUGACAAUUGCUUUUGCCUGUGGUGCUGAUUAAAAGUAUUUGACUGUAUUCUUUUCUUUGGAGAAUGAAGUCACUUUUUCUUUACUAUCUAUUAAAAGUGAAAAGUGAUGCUGUAGAAUCAAUACCCUGACUCUAGAGAAGACAUUGCUAAGGUUCGAAAUUUAAUUUUGCUCUUUCAAGUCAUUCAAACCUUGGACUUCCUGCCAAUUUGCAAAGUAAUCAGGCUAGAGAAUCUUAUGAUAGAGGCACCUGCUGCUAGGGAACACAGAUUAAUAUUACCAGCACAUAUUGAGUAAGCUACAGAACAGCCAACACAUACUAAUGAUGCCUGGGCUGCAAAGUCAUCUGGCAGCCUCAAGACAUCCCAAUGUCGGUCCCCUGUGCUCUGCAGUUGUCGCAGCUUCCCAGUACCAGCACAGGCACUUCUUGCCAGAGCAACUUUAUCCUCUCUUUUUUUAUUUAUUUAUUCCAAAGUAGGUCACACUGUGCCAUCUGUUGACACUUAAAACCCACAGAAGUUUCCAGAUUCCCUAUGGUAUCCUGCAGUUUAACAUGUAUUUUUACUACUCCGUUGCUCUACCCCGCUGCUGUAUGUACUGAGACUACUAAUCACAAGAGCUUGUUCAAUCACCUAAUGCAACUGAGCACAGGUCUUGAGUGAUGACUCCACCACUUCGAAUGACCCUGAAACUCUAGCAAAGUUCUGCAUGUGUGUUACAUUGAUCUGAAAACAUCCAACUGCACUCUCAUGAGUUCUUCAUAUGUACAAGGAAACUGAUAUCAAUUUGAACAAACCAGCAAAUUCAUUAUACCCAUAAACCUCUUCUUGUCAACAGUAAACCCAGGAGUAUAUAUA